rnacentral:lncRNA from 1 species
CGGAAAAAAACAGAUGCCACACUCACAAGUGAUUUUUUUUUUUUAAUUUUCUUAAAAAAGCCCCUAAAUUCUAUGGCUUCAAGGAAGCGUCAGAGAAACGUAAAUGCCAUUUCUGUACACUUUGUAAAGCAAGAACUACGCCUGAAUGACCACCACCUUGGAAGUGGGCACCUCGCCCACCCAGCAGUUUCCCGGGUCCUGCAGGGGUCGCCACCUGGCUCUGCGGCUGCCCCACCAGCAACCAGCAACACCUGCGGGUCGCAGGGCUUUAAGCGAUCUGUCUCCCGCAGCUGUGCCCCACUGGCGGGCGCGAGACCAGAAGCCCCAGCUGCAGCUGGCGCAGUGAGGGCCCAGCCGGCCCAGAUCCCAGGCAGGGGCAGUGGACACCCACCCAGGGGCCGGGGUGUCUCCGGGAGCAGGUGCACCCUCUGGCACAGGGCUGCCUCCAGCCGAGCUUUGGUGCAGCAUUUUGGUUGGGGGGCUGGCUCCAGCCGGACUGCGCCCCGCCCCGCCUUCCCCUUUGGUCUGGGGUUGGACCGAGCCGGUCUCAUCCCACAGCAGUGCCAGGGUCCCCUCGUGGGCAGCGCCUCCAGGGCUGGGCCUGGCCCUGCCCCUGCCCCUGCCCCCUCGAGGAAAUGGCCUUUGGAUCAAGGGAGACAAAAUGGACUUCAUGAGGCUAACGGGCGGCGCAGCAUCCAGCCCGGUCUCGCUACUCACUCGGCAGACGGGGAGGGCAGCGGGCCUCUGGGUUCCUUUGUUUCUUGUUUAAAUAGUUAAUGCUCUUGGAGGAGAGGACUAGACACAGGUGUAGAAAUUUCGGCCAAAGUCUUACGUGAAGGAAGGGACCCACGUCUGGGCCAGGCGGCCCUGCAGUCUAACUGGGGCUGCAGCUAGUCGCUGGCCGGCCUGUAGGUGGCCCAUGGCCUCGGGGACAAGCUGACCCGAGGGCAACAUCGAGGACAGUCCCAUGCCAAGAGCGCCUGGGUCACUUGUGCCGCUGCAGUGAUUUUCUCUUCCUCCUCUUGAAGAAACAGCAG